GUGCACGACCUCGACCAGCUGGUCGCCUGAUCUCGUUUAGCAGGGCAGGAGCCUGUGUUCCCAUUUCUUACUAGCUGGGCUGCCGAUGACCUAGCUCAGCCUUGGUUUUCCUCCGGUUGAACAAAAGCUGGCAAGAGCUGCCUCCCGGAUCGCAGUGAGGACUCUAAGGGAACGAGGGCGAACGCGCUUUGGAAAGCCAGUUGCUGAGCAGAUGGUAAGGGAUCACUUCCAAGAGCCAGGGCUAGUUUCAUUUCAGUCUUGGACACGAGAUGGUCUCAAUGCCUUCAUUAAUGAACAUUCUCCUUAGAAGUCUGGAGAACUGACCCAAGAAGAAGGACCAACAAUUCAGGCUCAGGAAAGCCCACAAUUCCACAGGGGAACCAGGACUGCAUGGCUUCGAAUCCCAGCCCUCCCCACUCAGGAAACAUUGCUCCCCAAACGGCACGGAUUUCUGGACGCCUCCACCUUAAGACAGCUACUUCAGCCAGAACGUGGGACAGGCACUAACGGGAUAUCACCCUUGGGGAUAAACACGCUCCAGUUUCCUGUGGACGGUGGAAGAGGAAAGAACAGGAGAAGCUGCCAAAGGGAUGGGGUGUAGGAAGCUCAUCCUUGCACGUUUAGACUAGGGAAGAAGAGAAUAUUAGGGAUGGGGGAGGGGGGAGGAUGGGAAGUGUAGUUUUUCCCCUUCCUUCCUUUCAUUUCAGAUCCCAUUUAGUGCUUUUAUUUCUUUAAUUUUGAAAACUAUUUCCCUUUCCUGAAUCUGGAUGCGGGCAGGGAGCGAACUCAAGGAAAUGAUGAGCAUGGAUGAGAGCCAGGGGACAGGAGAUAUGUCCUGGGAACUCAAACUCUGCUGCUUCGCCACUGUCUCCGAGAUGCCCUGAGCCUUAGCCCAAUGUAAAGGGAGCUGAUUGGGUGUAUGGGCAGUGGCGGGUGGUCUGAGUAAGAAAUAAAAUGAGGGCAAGCCAGAUCUACUCCCAUCCCAAAGCAUUAAAAGACACACCUCCCCACCCCUCAGCUGUCUUGUGUCCGGCAGAAUGGCAUUAUGUAAAAGAUCUGGCAUGUCACCCAGUGGCACAUCUGGUAGGUGUAGAUGGCAUUCAUUAGCACGGGGCUUCUACUCUGCAGCAUGCCAAAGCUCUGACAGAGAUGCCCGCUGCCAAUCAUUCAUUGGCUGCCAAUCCCCAAGCGCGGCCGGGCGGGAUGGCUUCCUUCCACCCUGGCAUCAGGAGUGGAGGAAACAAUGUGUUGAGAUAGAAGAGAUGAAAGUGGAGCUGAGGAUGCGAGGCACCCAACAGAUGUAUCCCAUGAGGAGAUAACGGUGCUAAAAGUCAUUUAGCAAGAAAGCAUAUGCAGGAUCUCAGGAGGGAGGCUUGGGCAGGGGGUCUGCUUGCCUAGGGCUGAGCUGAAGGAAAAGCAGGGGAGCCCUUUCAGAAACCUGAAAGUUGAGGUUGCUUCUCUAAAAACACACAAAGACCAAAACCUCAACCCCCUAAGUGUAGGAUUUCCCCCUCUCUUUGGUUUGUCACUUGUAUCUCUUUUUAUCUAGCAACCUAACUACCUCUGUAAAGGUCAACCUUUGUCAUGUUUUUUUCUGAGGACCGAGAUGAAGAGCACCUUCCUGUUUUAAAUUUUGCAUAAUUCUCAUAGACUAGUAAUUUGGGGGCUAAGGGGAGG
rnacentral:lncRNA from 1 species